rnacentral:rRNA from 1 species
GGGUUGUGAGGUUAAGCGACUAAGCGUACACGGUGGAUGCCCUGGCAGUCAGAGGCGAUGAAGGACGUGCUAAUCUGCGAUAAGCGUCGGUAAGGUGAUAUGAACCGUUAUAACCGGCGAUUUCCGAAUGGGGAAACCCAGUGUGAUUCGUCACACUAUCAUUAACUGAAUCCAUAGGUUAAUGAGGCGAACCGGGGGAACUGAAACAUCUAAGUACCCCGAGGAAAAGAAAUCAACCGAGAUUCCCCCAGUAGCGGCGAGCGAACGGGGAGCAGCCCAGAGCCUGAAUCAGUGUGUGUGUUAGUGGAAGCGUCUGGAAAGGCGCGCGAUACAGGGUGACAGCCCCGUACACAAAAAUGCACAUACUGUGAGCUCGAUGAGUAGGGCGGGACACGUGGUAUCCUGUCUGAAUAUGGGGGGACCAUCCUCCAAGGCUAAAUACUCCUGACUGACCGAUAGUGAACCAGUACCGUGAGGGAAAGGCGAAAAGAACCCCGGCGAGGGGAGUGAAAAAGAACCUGAAACCGUGUACGUACAAGCAGUGGGAGCACGCUUAGGCGUGUGACUGCGUACCUUUUGUAUAAUGGGUCAGCGACUUAUAUUCUGUAGCAAGGUUAACCGAAUAGGGGAGCCGAAGGGAAACCGAGUCUUAACUGGGCGUUAAGUUGCAGGGUAUAGACCCGAAACCCGGUGAUCUAGCCAUGGGCAGGUUGAAGGUUGGGUAACACUAACUGGAGGACCGAACCGACUAAUGUUGAAAAAUUAGCGGAUGACUUGUGGCUGGGGGUGAAAGGCCAAUCAAACCGGGAGAUAGCUGGUUCUCCCCGAAAGCUAUUUAGGUAGCGCCUCGUGAAUUCAUCUCCGGGGGUAGAGCACUGUUUCGGCAAGGGGGUCAUCCCGACUUACCAACCCGAUGCAAACUGCGAAUACCGGAGAAUGUUAUCACGGGAGACACACGGCGGGUGCUAACGUCCGUCGUGAAGAGGGAAACAACCCAGACCGCCAGCUAAGGUCCCAAAGUCAUGGUUAAGUGGGAAACGAUGUGGGAAGGCCCAGACAGCCAGGAUGUUGGCUUAGAAGCAGCCAUCAUU